AUGAAAGAAGUGGAAAAGUUUGA
rnacentral:snRNA from 1 species